GGCGGGUCUCCCCGCAUUAUACUUUGAAACACCGGGUCAGGUGCGGAAGCAAGCAGCCCAUUUCUUAGGGAUAAGUGCCGGGGGCUCGGCUCGUCUUC
rnacentral:SRP_RNA from 1 species